UACGUAGGGUGCGAGCGUUAAUCGGAAUUACUGGGCGUAAAGCGUGCGCAGGCGGUGAUGUAAGACAGGUGUGAAAUCCCCGGGCUUAACCUGGGAACUGCAUUUGUGACUGCAUCGCUGGAGUGCGGCAGAGGGGGAUGGAAUUCCGCGUGUAGCAGUGGAAUGCGCAGAUAUCAGGAAGAACACCCGUGGCGAAGGCGGCUCUCUGGGACGGUACUGACGCUGAGACGCGAAAGCGUGGGUAGCAAACAGG
rnacentral:rRNA from 1 species